CUGUUGCUCUCUGUCCGCCAUGCACUUCUUCGAUCUUCCCACAAAUGUGGCCACUACUGCUUAGCAACCAGGGGAACAUGACAGCAGACAGCAAAAUCCUCUCCCCAUAGCUCACCCUGUUCCAUCUCCACAUCAUAAAGUAUCUUUCAUAGCCAAUUAAGAGGAAUGCAUGUUGCGUGGCCACAGAGAGACUGAGUGGGACCUCAGGGGUGGCAUGGGCUGAGCUGGAGUCUCUGCUAGGUGCAUGCAUGGAGAGCAAAUUCAACAAACUGAUGACUGAAAGACCCCGAUAUAUGUGGGUAUAACAGCUCCCCAAAGGCUUAUGGCAACUAAUAUUUGAAAAGAACAGGGAAAAGGAGGAGAAAAAAGGGAGAGAAGGGAAGGAAGAGAAAGAAAGAAGAAAAGAAAGAGCUGAAUAUCAAGGCGAUGGGGAACAGAAGAGCUUUAUGCUGCGGCAUAAAGCCCUCAGCACUCCAGCCGCCCAAACCGCCAAGACCGGAGGGGAGGGCCAAGAGAUCGCGAGCAGCACCAAGAGAGCAAAGUCCAGACGAAACCCCGCUAAGCAGCCGGGAAAGCAGCUACUCACUCACUUCUCCCAUGCCACAGCAGUCCUUGUUAAUGCCAGUCAUGAAAUACUGCUGUCUAAGGAGCUGCUUCACUGGUGCCUCUGCAGUAAGCCAAGAUCAGCAUCAUUCCCAAUGCUUACAAACAGUCAUCUCAGAGACUGCAGCAAGCCUUGCGCAAAGUCAGCUGCUCUACAGAGCCAAAGAAGUCCCUGCUACAGAACCUUCCUCAUCCCCUGAGCAACGGGAUUGAAACAUUGUCCUCGAGAGCUAAGGGUGAGAAGCACAGUCGAAAACUGAGCAGACAGAAGAAAGCAGUCAAGUUCAGUCCUUGAUGCAGAGGAAAAGAGAUUCAUUUCUACAUGGCACUCAAUAGCAU
ensembl:lncRNA